UCAUGGCAAAGCUUGCUGACAGGAGCUGAGGCCCAGUGCACUGCAGGGGGUCACCAGGUGCCGAGAAUGCCCUGCCUGCUGUUGUCUGGUGCUUGGCACAGUCCUUGGUAGAGAGCUGGCGUUCAGAGCCAAGAAUGAUUGGAAGCCUGGAUGGAAACAGUUAGGCAGGGAAGUGGGCAGCAGUGUGGCGAUCGGAGGUGAGAGGGUAGCAUCUUGUGCCAGGUAAGCCAGGAGGAGAGGAGAGUGCCGAGUUUCCCGUCCACAGGGAAGGGAACCUCGCACUGACCACUCAACGGCUUGCUGCAGUAGCUAGGGUUCCCGGCUCUGAGGGAAUCUUUCACCUUUGUCCUACGUUGUAGCAAGCCUAGUUCCAGCUUAGAUGUACAGACCUCGGUGUCCCUCCCUAAAAGCAGGUGCUGACAGCUGAGCCAUUCCACACACCUUUGGGGCAAAGAAGCGCCGGAAGCCAGAGCAGGGCCAAGUUCAAAGACUGGACAUUCUUUCCGAGGCUCCCAGAAGCAGACCGGAGGGCCGGCUCCCGCGUUACAUAAGCAUCAGGUUAGCAGGUCCGUCACCGCGGUACUCAGCCUUGGCCUCUCGGACUUGCGCAACUAUUGCGCAGAAGCACUUGUUCCGUGUGGCAACAGGGCUACAUGGUUAUCAAAUACGUGGUGCAUCCGCCCAGACUCACUUAGACGACACCAAAGGUUUUCACCACCAGGUGGUUAAAGCUGCCUGAUAGGGUUGGCAGGAGGCAAAGCCAUGACUUACUGUAGCUCUUGGCCCAAGCCACCGAACACUCAGUACCUUGUACCCCGUUAGCCUUGGGCAGUAAAGCCUCUGAUAAAAUGUU